AGAGUUUGAUCCUGGCUCAGGAUGAACGCUGGCGGCGUGCUUAACACAUGCAAGUCGAACGAUGAUCCGGUGCUUGCGCCGGGGAUUAGUGGCGAACGGGUGAGUAACACGUGAGUAACCUGCCCUUGACUCUGGGAUAAGCCUGGGAAACUGGGUCUAAUACCGGAUAUGACUCCUCAUCGCAUGGUGGGGGGUGGAAAGCUUUUUGUGGUUUUGGAUGGACUCGCGGCCUAUCAGCUUGUUGGUGGGGUAAUGGCCUACCAAGGCGACGACGGGUAGCCGGCCUGAGAGGGUGACCGGCCACACUGGGACUGAGACACGGCCCAGACUCCUACGGGAGGCAGCAGUGGGGAAUAUUGCACAAUGGGCGAAAGCCUGAUGCAGCGACGCCGCGUGAGGGAUGACGGCCUUCGGGUUGUAAACCUCUUUCAGUAGGGAAGAAGCCCUCUUUGGGGGUGACGGUACUUGCAGAAGAAGCGCCGGCUAACUACGUGCCAGCAGCCGCGGUAAUACGUAGGGCGCAAGCGUUAUCCGGAAUUAUUGGGCGUAAAGAGCUCGUAGGCGGUUUGUCGCGUCUGCUGUGAAAGACCGGGGCUCAACUCCGGUUCUGCAGUGGGUACGGGCAGACUAGAGUGCA
rnacentral:rRNA from 1 species